CAUCUGGUUUAAAGCAAUUUCUUCUGCAUUCUUACCUUUACUGUCUUCGUCUCUCAGACUCUCCAAGAUAUGCAGAGCUUUGGGCCAGGAUCCUACAGCCACGGGUCAUGCAGAGCCAGUUGGCCACAUCCUUUGGGCCAAAUUUGGUCCUAACCAGGUCUUACCACGGUAACUGCUAACCAGUCCAUCUUCAGUUAAUAUUUCAUGCGUAGGAAUUGUUGAACAUCUUACCAUUUAAUCCAGAAGUUAUGUCCUUUAAGGAAUCGACCCUGAGCCUGUGAGUUUUACUUUGGGUUGGGGGUGAAGGAGUGGACCUUGCAGCAUUCAAGGUCAUCCAAGAUCAUCCAGUUAAGGCCCCUAAGGUCACUACGGGGGGAAAAGCCUGGUGAGGGAAGAGAAAGCAUUAGGGGGAGCUGCACCGUGCUGAGAAAUAACACCACACAGAAGUCUGUGUUCUAAUCUCAGCUCUGCUUUGCAUUACUGUGUGACCUGGAGCUGAUCACAGCCCUCUGAGUCUUAAAGGGGUUGGACAAGGCCAACUAAACAUUAGAAACACCUGAAAGUGCUGGUUAAAAGGAAGAAUGCAUGAGCUUCACUCCAGAUUUACUAUAUCAGAAUUUCCAGGGUCAGGGUCCAAGAAUCUGCAUGUUUAAUACGCUUUCCACAUGAUUUUUCCCCCCUCUGGACUUAAGAAAACAAUGGGCAAGUCAGCUCAUGAAGAACUUUUCAGAUAUUCAGACUAUUAUUCUGAGAGAGAAAAUAUUGGCAGAGAACAGAUGGGAUUUUUCUCAAGGAAAAGAAAUGGAAAUCCUACAUCUUGCAAGAAAUAGAAAAAAAUAAAUAAACUGUUUGAAGAAGAAUCACAUCAGGCUGGCAGGAGAGAGCCUGCGGCUCGGUGUCUGACCCAGAAUGUUAAAGCCAGCCUGGCUUGGCUCCAGGAUAAAGGACACUCUGUCAGCCUCUCCACAUUGAUUCAUCUCCCCAGCCCCAAGAUCAGGAGAGCAUUCUGUUCCUUGAAGCAUUUUAUGACUGUAAGUCAGAAGUGCUGCAGUUUUAAUAAAAAGCUGUAUUGUCCU
rnacentral:lncRNA from 1 species